UACGAAGGGGGCUAGCGUUGCUCGGAAUCACUGGGCGUAAAGCGCACGUAGGCGGCUUUUUAAGUCAGAGGUGAAAUCCUGGAGCUCAACUCCAGAACUGCCUUCGAUACUGAAGAGCUCGAGUCCGGGAGAGGUGAGUGGAACUGCGAGUGUAGAGGUGAAAUUCGUAGAUAUUCGCAAGAACACCGGUGGCGAAGGCGGUCUGCUGGGCCAAGACUGACGCUGAGGCGCGACAGCGUGGGGAGCAAACAGG
rnacentral:rRNA from 1 species